rnacentral:tmRNA from 1 species
CCAAUGAUGAGCAAUUCGCUAUUGCCGCCUAAAAACGGUUAGCCGGGGCUGCUAGAGCCUUGUUACCAAAGAUAGCCGGUGGGGACUUCGGUCCCCAUCGUCA